GUGAGGAAUAUUGCGCAAUGGAGGCAACUCUGACGCAGCCAUGCCGCGUGCAGGAAGAAGGCGCUACGCGUUGUAAACUGCUUUUAACCGGGAAGAAACCCCAGGACGUGUCCUGGGUUGACGGUACCGGAGGAAUAAGCACCGGCUAACUUCGUGCCAGCAGCCGCGGUAAUACGAAGGGUGCAAGCGUUAUCCGGAUUCAUUGGGUUUAAAGGGUGCGUCGGCGGAGCGUUAAGUCAGUGGUGAAAUCCUGCAGCUUAACUGUAGACUUGCCAUUGAUACUGGCGCUCUUGAGUGCGCUUGAAGUGGGCGGAAUGUGCCGUGUAGCGGUGAAAUGCUUAGAUAUGGCACAGAACACCAAUUGCGAAGGCAGCUCACUAAGGCGAUACUGACGCUGAGGCACGAAAGCGUGGGGAUCGAACAGGAUUAGAAACCCGGGUAGUCC
rnacentral:rRNA from 1 species